AUUGAACGCUGGCGGCAGGCCUAACACAUGCAAGUCGAACGGUAACAGGAAGAAGCUUGCUUCUUUGCUGACGAGUGGCGGACGGGUGAGUAAUGUCUGGGAAACUGCCUGAUGGAGGGGGAUAACUACUGGAAACGGUAGCUAAUACCGCAUAACGUCGCAAGACCAAAGAGGGGGACCUUCGGGCCUCUUGCCAUCGGAUGUGCCCAGAUGGGAUUAGCUAGUAGGUGGGGUAACGGCUCACCUAGGCGACGAUCCCUAGCUGGUCUGAGAGGAGGACCAGCCACACUGGAACUGAGACACGGUCCAGACUCCUACGGGAGGCAGCAGUGGGGAAUAUUGCACAAUGGGCGCAAGCCUGAUGCAGCCAUGCCGCGUGUAUGAAGAAGGCCUUCGGGUUGUAAAGUACUUUCAGCGGGGAGGAAGGGAGUAAAGUUAAUACCUUUGCUCAUUGACGUUACCCGCAGAAGAAGCACCGGCUAACUCCGUG
rnacentral:rRNA from 1 species